rnacentral:rRNA from 1 species
AACGAACGCUGGCGGCAGGCUUAACACAUGCAAGUCGAACGGGUGUAGCAAUACAUCAGUGGCAGACGGGUGAGUAACACGUGGGAACCUUCCUAGGGGUACGGAACAACUCAGGGAAACUUGAGCUAAUACCGUAUACGUCCGUGAGGAGAAAGAUUUAUCGCCCUUAGACGGGCCCGCGUCGGAUUAGGUAGUUGGUGGGGUAACGGCCUAUCAAGCCUACGAUCCGUAGCUGAUCUGAGAGGAUGAUCAGCCACACUGGGACUGAGACACGGCCCAGACUCUUACGGGAGGCAGCAGUGGGGAAUCUUGGACAAUGGGCGAAAGCCUGAUCCAGCCAUGCCGCGUGAGUGAAGAAGGCCUUAGGGUUGUAAAGCUCUUUUGCCAGGGACGAUAAUGACGGUACCUGGAGAAUAAGCCCCGGCAAACUUCGUGCCAGCCGCCGCAGUAAUAC